AUCAUAACCUUCCUUCUUGUACCUUGUUAGCAAGCAACAUCUCCAGCAGAAAUGGGCAACAUGGAAUCUAGCGGUGGCGGUGGUGGCGGCGGCUGCGGCUGCAACUGCGGCUGUGGUGGCGACUCUGGCGGAUCUGACGCACACGUCAUCUGUAUGCCCACCGGAGGCUGUGGCUGUGGUCCUAGUUGCUGCGCUCCUUGCUGCUGCGCUCCGUGCUGCUCUCCCUGCUGCUGCGGUCCGUGCUGCUCUCCCUGCUGCUGCUCUCCCUGCUGCUGCUCUUCGGGUUGCUGCGGUCAAUCGUCCUGCUGUUCCCAGUGCUGUAAACAGUGCAAGUGAAGUUGGCCAUCCCUUCCAGGACUUUUGAAUUGCUGUGCCACGAAGAAAUAAUAUAUGCUGCUCUGCUUCGGAUCUGAGAAGAAUGGCUGGCCCAGAGCAGUCAUGUUUGCUGCACUGGGUUUAGCCGCUACCUCCUCUGCGCAUCACUGUCUAACUUUGGCCUCUUUCUUGCUCUUAUCAUCUUCAUUUCCUGCUAUCUAUCAUAAUCCAAAUAAUCUAGUGCUAUUUUCACUCCAUUAUUGCUAGCCCUGUGCUAGGGAAGGUCGAAUCCAUCAAACAUCAACGCGCUUGUAUUUGAUCCUCCUUAAAUUCAGCUCAGCUUCUUUCCCUACCAGGGAGAUAGAAUUUAAGAAGUUCCCAGACAGAUUCAUCUUUUUUUUUUUUUUGUUCAUUUCUCCAAACAGAAAGAUUUUUAUUUAUUUAUAUAUAUAUUCAAUUGAGCAUUUGAAGUGAGGGAGCUUUGCUCAAAGAUGUUAAGCCAAGCAUACUUCUGUAUGCAUUUGAACCCCUUGCUGUUAUUUCCUGGAUCUUCCCUCCCCGAAUGCUGCAUUAUUUCUUAAUGAAUAAGCCAAUUGGAAUAAAAGGAAAAUCUGGAAUGUAAUUGCACAUCUGCCCUCUUUCAGGCUUAACCCCUGGGAGGAAAACAAUCAUUUCCCGUCUGGAUUCACUUUAGGGUAUCUGCCUUGCCAAACGACAUACCUGAAACUUUGCACCUGUCUCUGUUUUCUUCCACUAAUUGCAGGAAAAGUUCCCGAAGGGUGACUUUGGACAGGAAUCCCCCCACUCCCUCAAUUAUCUGAACCAUUUCUCUCUGUUGUCCAUUAAUUUCUGAUUUCAACUGAAUAGAUCUGGCGGGAGCCCAAAACUGUCCCAUGAUCAGAGUGACGCAGAUUUUUAAUUUGAACGGGUGAACCUGCCUCUAAUAUUCCAAUUUAAGACUUGGGGUGUCGAGAUUGCCUGACAUCUCACCUUCCCUCCUCUUCCUUUCCAAUCUGUUUUGUAACCUGAUCUUGCUUGUAUACAUAUUGUUUGGGUGACGUUUGGGUGAAUAAAGGCCUCGCCUUCUGGAAUGUGAAGGCAAUCAGCAA